UACGUAGGUGGCAAGCGUUGUCCGGAUUUACUGGGCGUAAAGAGCGCGCAGGCGGUCAGAUAAGUCGAAUGUGAAAGCCCCCGGCUCAACUGGGGAGGGUCAUUCGAUACUGUUCGACUCGAAGGCAGGAGAGGGAAGUGGAAUUCCCGGUGUAGUGGUGAAAUGCGUAGAUAUCGGGAGGAACACCAAUGGCGAAGGCAGCUCGCUGGGACGGUACUGACGCUGAGACGCGAAAGCGUGGGGAGCAAACAGG
rnacentral:rRNA from 1 species